AGCAGCCGCGGUAAUUCCAGCUCCAAUAGCGUAUAUUAAAGUUGUUACAGUUAAAAAGCUCGUAGUUGAAUUUUGGGAUCAAUGGGUUGGUCAUGCCCUCGGUAUGUACUGAUUUCAUUGGUUCUCACCUUCUAAGGAACCAUGAUGUCAUUCGUUUGAUGUUGUGGGGAAUUAGGACUGUUACCUUGAAAAAAUUAGAGUGUUUAAAGCAGGCUAACGUUUGAAUACAUUAGCAUGGAAUAAUGAAAUAGGACAUCCGAUUCUAUUUUGUUGGUUUUUAGGAUCGAUGUAAUGAUUAAUAGGGAUAGUUGGAGGCAUUAGUAUUCAAUUGUCAGAGGUGAAAUUCUUGGAUUUAUUGAAGACUAACUACUGCGAAAGCAUUUGCUAAGGAUGUUUUCAUUAAUCAAGAACGAAAGUUAGAGGAUCGAAGACGAUCAGAUACCGUCGUAGUCUUAACCAUAAACUAUGCCGACUAGGGAUCGGAUGAUGCUUAUUUUUAAUGACUCAUUCGGCACCUUACG
rnacentral:rRNA from 1 species